CCUACGGGAGGCAGCAGGCGCGAAACCUUUACAAUGCACGAAAGUGUGAUAAGGGGAAUCCCAAGUGCUCAAGUUCUGCUUGGGCUUUUGCCAAGAGUAAAUACCUUGGCGAAUAAGUGGUGGGAGAGACUGGUGCCAGCAGCCGCGGUAACACCAGCGCCACGAGUGGCAUACGUUUUUAUUGGGCCUAAAGCGUUCGUAGCUGGUUUGGUAAAUCUUUUGUGAAAUCAUGGGGCUUAACUCCAUGGCGUGCAGAAGAGACUGCCAGACUUGGAACCGGGAGGAGUCAGAAGUAUUCAGUGGGAAGCGGUAAAAUGCUGUAAUCCUCUGAGGACUACCUGUGGCGAAGGCGUCUGACUAGAACGGAUUCGACAGUGAGGGACGAAGGCCAGGGGAGCGUACCGGAUUAGAUACCCGAGUAGUCCUGGCAGUAAACUCUGCGAGCUAGGUGUUGCAUAUCUUUCGUGGGUAUGCAGUGUCGAAGCGAAGGUGUUAAGCUCGCCGCCUGGGAAGUAUAGUCGCAAGACCGAAACUUAAAGGAAUUGACGG
rnacentral:rRNA from 1 species